rnacentral:tRNA from 1 species
GUUAAAUUAGUGAGUAGCACGUGAAAAUUUGGAUGUUAUAGAAGAGAUAUCUCUAGUUAAUU